rnacentral:rRNA from 1 species
GGGGGGGGGAGGAUCCCAACCCAAUGUGAACGUUACCAAACUGUUGCCUCGGCGGGAUCUCUGCCCCGGGUGCGUCGCAGCCCCGGACCAAGGCGCCCGCCGGAGGACCAACCAAAACUCUUAUUGUAUACCCCCUCGCGGGUUUUUUUAUAAUCUGAGCCUUCUCGGCGCCUCUCGUAGGCGUUUCGAAAAUGAAUCAAAACUUUCAACAACGGAUCUCUUGGUUCUGGCAUCGAUGAAGAACGCAGCGAAAUGCGAUAAGUAAUGUGAAUUGCAGAAUUCAGUGAAUCAUCGAAUCUUUGAACGCACAUUGCGCCCGCCAGUAUUCUGGCGGGCAUGCCUGUCCGAGCGUCAUUUCAACCCUCGAACCCCUCCGGGGGGUCGGCGUUGGGGAUCGGCCCUGCCUUGGCGGUGGCCGUCUCCGAAAUACAGUGGCGGUCUCGCCGCAGCCUCUCCUGCGCAGUAGUUUGCACACUCGCAUCGGGAGCGCGGCGCGUCCACAGCCGUUAAACACCCAACUUCUGAAAUGUUGACCUCGGAUCAGGUAGGAAUACCCGCUGAACUUAAGCAUAUCAAA